rnacentral:rRNA from 1 species
AAUGAACGCUGGCGGCGCGCCUAAUACAUGCAAGUCGAGCGAGAAGACGUAGCAAUACGUUUGUAAAGCGGCGAACGGGUGAGGAAUACAUGGGUAACCUACCCUUGAGUGGGGAAUAACUAGCCGAAAGGUUAGCUAAUACCGCGUACGCUUCCUGGACUUCGGUUCAGGGAGGAAAGCGAUGCCGAGGGUAUCGCGCUCUUGGAUGGGCUCAUGUCCUAUCAGCUGUUGGUGAGGUAACGGCUCACCAAGGCUUCGACGGGUAGCUGGUCUGAGAGGACGAUCAGCCACACUGGCACUGCGACACGGGCCAGACUCCGUACGGGAGGCAGCAGUAAGGAAUAUUGCGCAAUGGGACGAAAGCCUGACGCAGCGACGCCGCGGUGGGGGAU